UACGAAGGGGGCUAGCGUUGUUCGGAGUUACUGGGCGUAAAGGGCGCGUAGGCGGCCUUCCAAGUCGGGUGUGAAACGCCCACGGCUCAACCGUGGAAUUGCACUCGAGACUGAAGGGCUCGAGGACGGGAGAGGAUGGUGGAAUUCCCAGUGAGAGGUGAAAUUCGUAGAUAUUGGGAAAGAACACCGGUGGCGAAGGCGGCCAUCUGGACCGUAUCUGACGCUGAGGUGCGAAAGCGUGGGGAGCAAACAGG
rnacentral:rRNA from 1 species